GAAUAUUGGACAAUGGGCGAAAGCCUGAUCCAGCCAUGCCGCGUGUGUGAAGAAGGUCUUCGGAUUGUAAAGCACUUUAAGUUGGGAGGAAGGGUUGUAGAUUAAUACUCUGCAAUUUUGACGUUACCGACAGAAUACGCACCGGCUAACUCUGUGCCGGCAGCCGCGGUAAUACAGAGGGUGCCAGCGUUAGUCGGAAUUACUGGGCGUAAAGCGCGCGUAGGUGGUUUGUUAAGUUGGAUGUGAAAUCCCCGGGCUCAACCUGGGAACUGCAUCCAAAACUGGCAAGCUAGAGUAUGGUAGAGGGUGGUGGAAUUUCCUGUGUAGCGGUGAAAUGCGUAGAGAUCUGGAGGAAUACCGAUGGCGAAGGCAGCCAUCUGGCCUAAUACUGACACUGAGGUGCGAAAGCAUGGGGAGCAAACA
rnacentral:rRNA from 1 species